UACGUAGGGGGCAAGCGUUAUCCGGAAUCAUUGGGCGUAAAGAGCGUGUAGGCGGCCCGGUAAGUCCGCUGUAAAAGUCAAAGGCUCAACCUUUGAAUGUCAGUGGAUACUGCCGGGCUAGAGUCCGGAAGAGGCGAGUGGAACUCCUGGUGUAGCGGUGGAAUGCGCAGAUAUCAGGAAGAACACCAACGGCGAAGGCAGCUCGCUGGGACGGUACUGACGCUGAGACGCGAAAGCGUGGGGAGCGAACAGG
rnacentral:rRNA from 1 species